UCCAAGUAAUGGCCCAGCUCAAUACUUAGGCAGUCAGGCGCCAGCUUUGGUUCCUUUCUUCUCUUAAACCCCUAAAACCCUGGCUUCUCAUUUGACUAUUGCCUCCUCGGAUUGAUCUCUCUCUGUUUCAGAGCUCUUCAAUAGUAUCUCUGCUAAAACCCAUCUCUCCUUCGAACCUUGAACCCUUCUAAAACCCUUCAUUUCCAAAUGUCUCUCAUCAAAACUUUCUUACUUCGUAACCAAACCGAAGUUCUCAAAACCCAGAACCCUCUUUACAAAUUCCACCCUUCUUCACCACCCUUCAUAAUCAGAACCCUUAAUUGCUCUCCCCAGAAACCAACCAAGAAACCACUUUCUCUAUUGUUUGAAGAAGCAGUUGGUUUAACUGAAAAAGCUGCUGGAACUGAAAGUCAGAGCGAAAGCGAAGGCGAAGAUAAUGAGCUAAUGAGGGGAUUAAGAGAAUUAGAAAGAGAAGUUAGGAAUUUGAAAGAAAACCCAAAGCCAAAAGGGAAAAAGAAAGAAAAAGAGAGAGUAGAGAGGAAAAAACCCGAGAAAGUUAAGAGUUUGGUUGAGUUGUUUGGGGGUGAAAAGAAAGAAGAAAAGGCGGAAAAGAUGGUGAAAGUGAGGGGAGAAAGGGGGAAGGAAACAGUUUUGAAGAAUUUUUCACAGUUAGCUGAGAUUUUCGUCAGGCAUUUGUAUUCAAAAGGGUAUUUUAACAAGGCUAAUUUUUUAGAAGACAACAAGUUGGAUUUUGGUUACUUUGAUAAUAGUUAUAGCAGGAAUUUUCUCAAGUUUGCUGCUUACAAGUUUGGUAAAGAUCAUCAAGAGAUUGCAAAGUGGUUGUCAGGCAAUCACUUGAAAAAGGUGGUGCUCUUUGGUUGCCCUUCCCUUGAUAAAAAUAAUGUCUAUGCUGCUAAGAGAUUGCGCAAGUUCUUUAAAAUUCAAGAAAACAUUGUAUGCAGUCAAUGCAUGCUAAAGGAUUCAUGCGAGUAUGCUAAUAAGAAUGUAUGGGGAAUUGGUACCCAGAGUUUGCUUCUGGUUGAUGUAAUGAAGGUUAUUGCUUUGUAUGCUUUAGAUGAAGUGCCUCCAAAGCUCACAGUUCCUGACGAAGUACAGGAUUCAGCCAACAGACUGUUGAAGGAGGUUAUAAAGCUAAGUCAAACCACAUGACAAGGCUUCUAAAAUGUUCCUACAGGUACUUAGUGUAAAUUCAGUUGUAACUUUGUCAUUAUCUUCAUUUAAGUCGUUUCCGUGGAUUUGCUCGGAUAAUCAUAUUCCAGAUUGUGGAUAUGAUUGCAAGAAACGUGGAUAAAGUUUUUACCUGUGGCAUAGAUGAUCCUAUUGGCAGACAAGCAUACGUCUAAAGAAGGAUUUUCAAAGUAAAAUAUUGAUGGCUGAUGUCCAGGAAUGGUAACUUAUAUUCAUGAAUGACGUAUUUCCUUGAUUGACUGCUUGGAAGGCUCUAGAUGAGUCAGAAAUCAAAAUCUAGAAGUUCUAGAAUACGAAAUACAAAUAGUGAAGCAACCCGGAAUUUGGUCCAUCCAAGUAACAAGUUAGAAGAAUAGUUUUUUUCAUUGACUACAAGUUCGUUUGGAUGCUUGGCGGGAGAAUUCUCUUUCUUUCAUCAACUUGUGUCACGAUUCACACCAUAUUAUAAGGUAUUAUCCACUUUGAUCUAUUAGGUCUCAUGAUUUUAUUUUACAAAAAGUAUAUAGGUGGUGUGAACACUUAUAUACAAAUCAAUUCUAACAUAUAACGGAUAUAGGGUUCAUGACUCUUUUCUAUGACUCUUUUUUAAGACUAUGACAAUGUGCAUGUUGUUUUAUUUACUUGACCCUUAGAGGUCCGGUAAUAAAACACAGCCAUGGCGGGGUGGAAGUCCCUCCCACCACGCUACCAAAGGGAUCCUAUGCUUGUUUAUGUUUUUAAGUUUUCUGGCAUGCUCCAUGGGGUUUGGGUCUUUGGGGUGAUGAAAGGUAAUGGAGUUGUUCAACUGUUUCUUCAUUAUAAUUAUUGUAAAAGUCAAAUGUUGGAUUGUAUGUAUGAAUUCACUUGAGAUCUCUUUGGAAGUUUAUGUUAAAUUAUGAAUAUCUUUGCCAACAGUACUUGAGAAGAGAGGAUUUGAUGGCUUGGGUUUUAUCCUAAGUUUUUACUUACCUUUUUGUCAAGGUAAAGCUGAAGCUUCGCUUUUGGAACUCAUAAUUUGGUAAUUACCUCAUCUACAUCAUUUUUGCUCCCAUUAAAGAAGCAACUUUUUCAUGGUUGACAAAUAAUUGGCAAUGACAUUUAGAUGAGGAAAAUAGUGUCCUUCAGCUUCAGAUUGCUACAAAUAAACUGGAGAUUUAAUUCAUACAAUAAUAAUUUUUAG